AUGAACCGGGUGAACCAGGUGGCUGGGGAACUGAAGGGGGACCCCUUCAGUCCUUCGCCAUUCACUUUCCCCUCCACUCACACACCCCCCUUUAUAUUCCGCUUCACGUGGGGUGCGGGGCGGGAGGGAGGGGAGCCCAGGAGGGGGCGGGGGAGGCGAGGAGAAGCGAGAAAUGCCCACCUUCUUUGGCCAACUCCGGAGCCAGCUCAGCCCCCUCCUCCCGCGGCGGCGGCCACUGCAAAGCCCCGCCGCUCGCCCUGCACCGAGGCAGCGCGGAGCGAGCGGUCGCCCGGCCCUCGCCACCCCCGGCGCCGCGGCCGCCGGCGAGCCCCGAGCUCAGCGUCGCUCCAACCUCCCCUGCCGGCGCGGCCGGCCCCGCUCGGGCCUCCCCCGCGGCCCGCGGCCCCUCUCAAACCCCCUGGGCUCGCGACGGCUGCUCCGGGAGGAAAGACUGGCCGCGGCUGGGACCCGGGCGGCGCGGCGGCGAGCGGGAGGCGGCGACGGCGACGGCGGCGGAGGGGCCCCGGUACGGUGAGCCCAGCAACGCGCGCGCGGGCGGCGCGCAGAGACGCCGGGUCCUCGCGGAGCGCGGCCGGGGCGCGGCGGCGGCAGUGGUGGCGGCGGCAGCGGGAGCCCAGGGACCGCUCCAUCACUGGCAGCCAUGGAGCCCGAGCAUUUUCCUCCCUCGGGGUAGGCGCUCGGCUCCGGCACACGUCCUCAGGGAGGAAGAGGGCGCCGGCGCCCGGGCUGCUCCGGCGGGCGGCGGGACGUGCGCGGGAGCGGAGGGGCGAGCUCGCGUCCUCUUCUCAGCCCGCCGGCUGCCUCGGCACCGUGCUGCUCCCGCGGCCGGGAGGGAGGGAGGGACGGAGAGGGGGAGGUAGGGAGGGGGGCCGCGGGCGACGGCGACGGCGGCGGCGCGGCGGUGGCGGUGGCUCCUUUCGCGGUGGUGGUAGCGGCGGCGGCGGCGGCGGCCAGACGGGGCUGGUGCAGCGACUGCAGCCGACGCCGUUCAAAGAAAUGAGAGGUUAACUAAUUAACUUAAAUGAGCGUCUUGUGGAUGGAGAUGUGGCUGUCGCUCUACUUGCCAUUUGGUCAGGUUCCAUGUCAAGCUUAGUACCCAGGAGGUAAUUGUUCUCUGCUUUGCAAGAAGGAUGGACACAAAGGAAAAUUUAAAAAUGAAAGGACUGAAAAUUUCACUUCUACUGUACAUCUGUGGGUUUGACUAUGUGCUGCUCUGAGCAGAGGACACGUAUCCACCGAAGGCUGACAGAGCAGAAAACAUAAACGAGAGUAUGUAUAAAUGCCAUCCUAGAGCCUUCAUCCAGUAGCUGAUGGAAGCAGAAGCAGAGAUCCACAGCCAAGCUCUGAGCCAAACUCCUGGAAUCCAGUUGCAGUGAGGAAGGAGUGAUGAACAAAGGGGUUAAGACCACACUGGAAAAACCCACAGAAACACCUGACCUGAGCAAGUGGGAACUCAUGAACAGCUAGGGAACCAACACAGGACCAAACCAGGCUCCCUGAAUGUGGGUGUCAGUUAGAAGCACUGGGCAGUCUAUGGACCUCUGGCAGUGGAACCAGAAUGAAUCCCUAGUGCACAAAUGGACUUCUGCACAAAUGGAUUUCCCAUGGAGGGAUACUCUCUUAACCUAGAUACACAGGGGCGGGCCUAGGCCCUGCCCCAAAUGACUUGACAGAUUUUUAAUGGUCUCUCAUGGAAGGCCUCACCCUCCCUGGGGAGUGGGAGGGGAUGGGAUGGGGUGUCAAUGGGGGGCAUGGGAGAAUGGGAGGGAGAAGGAACUGGGAUUGAUAUGUAAAAUAAUAUUGUUUCUAAUUUAAAUAAAAUUUAUAUAUAAAAAAUAAUUCUGGAGGCC
rnacentral:lncRNA from 1 species